GCGAAUUAGACUCCAUCCAUGCAAUUAGUUUUGUAAUUACCUCAUGUUUAAUCCUUCUAAUUAGCAUCCGAACAUCCGAUGUGACUCUGCUAAAGUUUAGCGCCUCAUAUCCAAACACCCCCUCAGUAAAUUGUUUCCUUUCAGAAAUAGCAGAUUUUGGGAAAAAAAACAUUGAGUGUUGUUCCUUCUGGAAAUCAAGUGCAUACAGAUCAAGGAAUUGUUCUUCAUUGCUGCCAUUCAGCGUGUGCUGAAGACUUUCUUGUGUAAGCAGUGUUCUGAACUUUGUGUCUUUGUUGGCAGUCUACGAAAUAUUUUCUUGGUUACACAUAAAUAGUUAAUUUGCUGCACAUUAAUAUUUUUUUAUUUUUGUUGAGUAAUAUUCUCACAUUUCAGAUUGUGUGUUAUUUUGCAGCUAAUUGUAGGUUGCAGGUUGUUUUACUAAUUUCAAUAAUUUGCAACCUGUUGCCUUGGAGCAACUCUGAAUCUGAAGUAAACAAACUAAACCUAUGUUGCUAGGUUUCUUUUUUCUAUAAGAAUGUGUAUUGUAAAUUUUUAAGAAACCAAUAUUUUACCAAAGUAUUUUGUCUUCUGCCGAAAGUUUGAGAAGCUGCACAAUUUUCAUUCGAAAACAAACAACGUUUAUAUAUAAUUUUUUUGGUUUUCUCAUGGGAUGAUGAUUUUAACACUACAAAAGGUAUGAUUUCUGUACUUGCCAAUUCUAUGCUACUAAUCAUUCUCCUCUGUCUUAUUUCAUUCAUUCCGUAUGUUUGCGUAUUACUCAAGAGAGUUUGUGCAAUUCUUGGUGAUUUAACAUUUUCACAUUAUAGCUUCAUUUAGUUACCUUUGUAUUCAAUAUCAAGUUAUCUAAACUUCAAACAUCAUGAGGUUUUUUAUUUUAAUAUAUCUCUUUUGGGUGCUCUAAAUCUUCCUACGAAAUGAGAAACUCUAAGGAAAUCACGAAAUUCCAGUAGUUGGUGGAUGGCUGGACGCCAUCAAGUAGCGGAACACCACCCUCUCAUGCGGCUCUUCACUGUCAUAUAGAUCGCAAUCUGCAGUGGUGGCGUGCGUGGAAGCGACAACAUCAAUAUAGAUGCUAAGCGGCCAUACAUGAAACAAGGGAAUAAUAAGCUGAGAACAUGUAAAGACCCAUAGCAACGCACGGGCAUUUCAACUAUUUGAAUAAUAAAUUUGGAAGAAAGCAGCUACAUAGGCUACAACCAUGUUCCUCUGUAGACUACACGUCAUUGAGGUUCGUUCAGUUUUAAGUUUCCGUUUCAAAUAAGAGGUUUUUUCAGUUUUCAGUAAUGAUUUUUGUCCAGUGUUUAGUUACAGAAGGUAUCAUCUAUGGCAUACUAUAUGCUAGCUUUUUUUCCUUAGUUAGCACUUUUUAUUUGUUAACACCUGAGAUAAGAAUAUUUUUUCUAAUCCUGUAGAGAUGAUACCUGAAGCAAACUAUAGGUUUAUUAGUCAAUCUUACCUUCUAAAUUGUCUAGUCACUUACUGAGGGUGACUUUUUCAGUGAUCAUGUUGCCUAUUCAAUUUGUUGCUGUCCCUCUGAUAUAUUUUCCCCUGCAAAUUUUUAGCUCUAUUGGCUUCAUAUUUCAUAUACUUUGCUUAUAUAUUUGUUUUGUGCAGAGACUCAAGUCAUGUGGAAAAAAGGAGUACUUAUCUUUAAUGCCCUUACAUUUUUGCUAACAGGAAAGCGUGGACAACCAAAAUAUUUAGAGAAAACUUUAUGCCUAUAUGCUGGUGAUGGACUACUAGAAGAAUGAAGAAUUACAGAAAGGUUUAUUGGUGACUGCCAGUGCCGUUAGGAAUGAAUAGAUCAAUAAGAGAACUCAUAUUUAGUUUUAUUUUAUUAUGCCAAACAUAGUUGCACUUGUAGUCAGAGAUGAUGUUUUUAUUGUCAUUGUGUUAUUACUUUGGUUGAGACAUAUAUUAGAAGUUAAUGAAGGUUUGAGUUCUUAUAUGUGAUGA